CACUCUAGAGAGACUGCCAGGGAUAACCUGGAGGAAGGUGGGGAUGACGUCAAAUCAUCAUGCCCCUUAUGCUUAGGGCUACACACGUGCUACAAUGGGUAGUACAGAGGGUUGCCAAGCCGUAAGGUGGAGCUAAUCCCUUAAAGCUACUCUUAGUUCGGAUUGUAGGCUGAAACUCGCCUACAUGAAGCUGGAGUUACUAGUAAUCGCAGAUCAGAAUGCUUCGGUGAAUGCGUUCCCGGGUCUUGUACACACCGCCCGUCACACCACGGGAGUUGGAGACGCCCGAAGCCGAUUAUCUAACCUUUUGGAAGAAGUCGUCGAAGGUGGAAUCAAUAACUGGGGUGAAGUCGUAACAAGGUAGCCGUAUCGGAAGGUGCGGCUGGAUCACCUCCUUUCUAAGGAGA
rnacentral:rRNA from 1 species